rnacentral:tRNA from 1 species
GGGGAUUUAGCUCAGUGGUAGAGCACUUGUCUAGCAAGCACAAGGCCCUGGGUUCAGUCCCCAGCUCCG